AUGAAAGCAAGUGGGAAAAAAGCUUCACACGGUGCCAAGAAGCCAUCACCCAAAAUUAAAAAGACACCUCCAAGAGUUAAAAAGCCAAGAGCUCAAUGGAACCCAGCUUUGGAAAAGGGUUUAGUAGAGAUACUUCAGGAGCACAACACUCCGUACCAUAGGGGACAGAAUGGUUGGUCAACUGAAGCAUGGAAUAGGAUGGAAGAUUUAUUUCAUGAAAGAUAUGGACACACUAAUUUUACAAAGCUACAGAUUCAAGAAAAACAGAAAGACUUGAAAGCUCAAUACAGACUUCUUAAGGAUGCCCGCAAACAGAGAGGUGUCAGCUGGAACUAUCAUACACACAUGAUAGAUGCUGACGCACAUCUUUGGCAAAACUUGAUGACUUCGUGGCCAGAAAUAGCUAAGUUCCAGAAUAAGCCCUUUCCCCUCUACGAUAAGCUUGGUGAUCUGUAUGAUGGGCAUAUAGCAGAAGGUAACUUCAAUUUCACAUCAACUGAGGUUACAGAAGUGAGUGAUGGUGAUCUCGAAGUUGAAAGAGAGAAGACUGCUUUCUCUUUUGACCUGAAUCAAUACGGUGAUGAUUUACACAUGUAUGAUGAUCCAAGAGAUGCCGCCCCAAGUGAUGGUCCAAGUGAUGCUGCCCCAAGUGAUGGUCCCAGAGAUGCUGUCCCAAGUGAUGGUCCAAGAGGUGCUGCCCCAAGUGAUGGUUCAAGAGAUGCCACACAAAGAGGUGGUGUUGCUACUUCAAAUAACAAGCAUGUGAAGGAAUCAAAGAAGGGUAAGAAGCGUGAUGAUCCUAUGGUGGAAGUGAUGUCACAAUAUGUGGAGAUCAAACGGAAGCAAGCGGAGGAGGAGUCUGCUCUAUUGGCCGGGGCAAAAAAUGCCCAAGAAUUCUCCAUCAGCAAGUGCAUUGCUGUUUUGCACAAGAUGGAAAGUAUCCACCGCGAUGAAAGAGCCACUGCCUACAAAGUGUUCAAAAGUGUUGAGAACCGUGAGAUCUUUCUUAAUUCUGCCGCUGAAGAUGAAGAAAGUGCUGCAGUGUUUCUUCGGAGCGAAAUGGCAGAGUUGACUCAACGUAUCUAA
rnacentral:rRNA from 1 species